CCUGAUAGCAAUUAAAGGGGCCCUG
rnacentral:tRNA from 1 species